GAGAGUAUAACUCAAUGGUGGAGCAUGUGCUUAGCAGGCAUGAGGUCCUGGGUUCAGUCCCCAGUACCUCCA
rnacentral:tRNA from 1 species